rnacentral:tRNA from 1 species
GCGGCCUUGGCCGAGUGGUCAGGCACCGGGCUUCCAUCCCGUUCACAGGAGCUCGAAUCUCCUAGGCCGCUCCA